rnacentral:rRNA from 1 species
UACGGGGGGGGCAAGCGUUGUUCGGAAUUACUGGGCGUAAAGGGCUCGUAGGCGGCCAACUAAGUCGAACGUGAAAUCCCUCAGCUUAACUGGGGAACUGCGUCCGAUACUGAUUGGCUUGAAUCCGGAAGAGGGAUGCGGAAUUCCAGGUGUAGCGGUGAAAUGCGUAGAUAUCUGGAGGAACACCGGUGGCGAAGGCGGCUUCCUGGACUCAUACUGACGCUGAGGCGCGAAAGCGUGGGGAGCAAACAGG